CUGCCUUCCCUAUAAGCAGCCUCAGCAACAGGUUGUAAAUUGGUUUUGGAUCGUGCAACUUUCCGCAGGUGUCAGGUUUCAAACGUCUGAGAGUAACAGUGGAGAUUGACCUCUGGCCACCUGAACGAGGCAUGUUUCAGAACUCUGCUGUGCGAGGAAGAGCCUUCGCACAGAAACACUGACACCCGCCAUGGAACAGAUCAAUUUGCAUUUAAGUGACUAUAUGACCUGCUGAAGGUAACAACACGAUCCCGAAACCAAUGACCCACAGCCUGAGAGGAACAAAGAGCUACACAUGACCUGAGAGGAUAUUAAUGUGUGUGGAUUUUUUGGAGGUGAGGCUCCGAGUGAAAUGUCAACAGCCACCUGCGUGUUGUUAAAGCUCGACGCUUGAAGGGGGUGUGGAUCAAUAUUAAUCACCGAUCAAAGAGCUCUAAAAUUGGUGUCCAGGAGAUGAACAUUGUUGGGGUGACAUGAUGACAAUGGGGAGUGAAAGUGUGCUGGAGCAGAUAUGUCUAUGCUGGAAAGAAAGAAG
ensembl:lncRNA